GCUGAAAUAUAAAAGUAUAUUUCAGCAAAAUAUGCUUACAAGUAAAGAAUACUGCAUUUACAUUGUUUACAUUUCUUUUUCAUGUGACAUUUGUCUCGAAAAUAAAACACAAUAUGGACUGAUUCAGUUUUCUGUGAAACGCAGCUUUCACCCUCAACUCAGGAUGGUAUGACACUGCAUUAAUUCACAGAUCAUCUGUUGUAUUUCCUAGUUUUGAGUGAAGUAAGUUUAAUAAGGAAUGACGCAAGCGUAAUAAAUAUGCUAAAUUUCGUCAUCGCUACUCUAAUGCAAGUUAUUAUCAGCUGAGAUGAAGGAACAAACCCCACAAUUAUAAUCCAGUUAUGCAGAACACUUUAAAGAUCAAAUUAAACUGCAUUAAAUGGAAUGGAACAUUAUUUAUGUGAGAUGGCAUUUCUAUAAAACUUCAUCAGUCAAAACAGGAACAAGAGAGAACAGAAUGCAGAAAAAACAUACAAUAUGUAUAAAGCAAAGAUUAUAAACAUUUUCAAUCUAACCUCUAAAUCAGAUAUAAAUCAAUAAAUAUAAACGUUUUCUGAAAUAUUGUCUACUGUAUAUAUUACA